rnacentral:rRNA from 1 species
UUUUUGGAGAGUUUGAUCUUGGCUCAGGACGAACGCUGGCGGCGUGCCUAAUACAUGCAAGUCGAGCGCUGGAAGCUAAUUUCAUCCCUUCGGGAUGAA